rnacentral:snoRNA from 1 species
UGUGCACAUUGUUAGAGCUUAGAGUUGAGGCCACUGGCCAGUGAACGCACUGUCGGUACUAUGUCACAUGAGGGGGCAAGUGUUUUGCUAACACCACAAUGGGUCUCUGGCCUAAUGAGUGAAGGUUGAUAGUAAUCUUUGCUAUAAUA